GGGGAAUAUUGCGCAAUGGGGCAAACCCUGACGCAGCAAUACCGCGUGAGUGAAGAAGGUUUUCGGAUCGUAAAGCUCUGUUAUUGGGGAAGAAAAAAAGACGGUACCCAAGAAGAAAGUCCCGGCUACCUACGUGCCAGCAGCCGCGGUAAUACGUAGGGGACAAGCGUUGUCCGGAUUUACUGGGCGUAAAGGGCACGCAGGCGGUUUUUUAAGUCAGAUGUGAAAACCCAGGGCUCAACCCUGGGAGUGCAUUUAAAACUGAAGGGCUCGAGUGCAGGAGAGGUAAGUGGAAUUCCUAGUGUAGCGGUGAAAUGCGUAGAUAUUAGGAGGAACACCAGUGGCGAAGGCGACUUACUGGACUGUAACUGACGCUGAGGCGCGAAAGCGUGGGGAGCAAACA
rnacentral:rRNA from 1 species